rnacentral:rRNA from 1 species
AUUGAACGCUGGCGGCAGGCCUAACACAUGCAAGUCGAGCGGAUGAAGGGAGCUUGCUCCUGGAUUUAGCGGCGGACGGGUGAGUAAUGCCUAGGAAUCUGCCUGGUAGUGGGGGAUAACGUCCGGAAACGGGCGCUACUACUGCAUACGUCCUGAGGGAGCAAGUGGGGGAUCUUCGGACCUCACGCUAUCAGAUGGGCCUAGGUCGGAUUAGCUAGUUGGUGGGGUAAAGGCCUUCCAAGGCGGCGAUCCGUAACUGGUCUGAGUGAAUGAUCAGUCACACUGGAACGGAGACACGGACCAGACGCCUGCGGGAGGGCGCAGAGGGGAAUAUGAGACAGUAGUGGAAAGUCUGACACAAUCAUGCGACGUGUGUGAAGAAGGUCUUCGGAUUGGAAAGCACUUUAAGUUGGGAGGAAGGGCAGUAAGUUAAUACCUUGCUGUUUUGACGUUACCAACAGAAUAAGCACCGGCUAACUUCGUG